rnacentral:rRNA from 1 species
UAGUGGAAGCGUCUGGAAAGGCGCGCGAUACAGGGUGACAGCCCCGUACACAAAAGCGCAUGUGCUGUGAGCUCGAUGAGUAGGGCGGGACACGUGGUAUCCUGUCUGAAUAUGGGGGGACCAUCCUCCAAGGCUAAAUACUCCUGACUGACCGAUAGUGAACCAGUACCGUGAGGGAAAGGCGAAAAGAACCCCGGCGAGGGGAGUGAAAAAGAACCUGAAACCGUGUACGUACAAGCAGUGGGAGCCCCACCACCAAAGCAUUCUCUGGUGUUGAAGGCCCUGCAAAGCAGCAUCGCGGUGGCGGAGCGUCGUUUGCGACGCCCAACACACAAAACAAGCGGUGAGUGCUUUGGGGUGGGGUGACUGCGUACCUUUUGUAUAAUGGGUCAGCGACUUAUAUUCUGUAGCAAGGUUAACCGWAUAGGGGAGCCGGAGGGAAACCGAGUCUUAAUUGGGCGUUAAGUUGCAGGGUAUAGACCCGAAACCCGGUGAUCUAGCCAUGGGCAGGUUGAAGGUUGGGUAACACUAACUGGAGGACCGAACCGACUAAUGUUGAAAAAUUAGCGGAUGACCUGUGGCUGGGGGUGAAAGGCCAAUCAAACCGGGAGAUAGCUGGUUCUCCCCGAAAGCUAUUUAGGUAGCGCCUCGUGAAUUCAUCUCCGGGGGUAGAGCACUGUUUCGGCUAGGGGGCCAUCCCGGCUU